GACAGAGGGUGCAACCGUUGCUCGGAAUCACUGGGCGUAAAGGGCGUGUAGGCGGGAAGGUAAGUCAGAUGUGAAAUCCCUGGGCUCAACCCAGGAACUGCAUUUGAAACUCCCUUUCUUGAGUGUCGGAGAGGAAAGUGGAAUUCCUGGUGUAGAGGUGAAAUUCGUAGAUAUCAGGAGGAACACCGGUGGCGAAGGCGGCUUUCUGGACGACAACUGACGCUGAGACGCGAAAGCGUGGGGAGCAAACAGG
rnacentral:rRNA from 1 species